rnacentral:rRNA from 1 species
AUUGAACGCUGGCGGCAUGCCUUACACAUGCAAGUCGAACGGUAACGCGGGGCAACCUGGCGACGAGUGGCGAACGGGUGGGUAAUGCAUCGGAACGUGCCCAGAAGUGGGGGAUAGCCCGGCGAAAGCCGGAUUAAUACCGCAUGAGACCUGAGGGUGAAAGCGGGGGAUCGCAAGACCUCGCGCUUUUGGAGCGGCCGAUGUCAGAUUAGCUAGUUGGUGGGGUAAAGGCCUACCAAGGCGACGAUCUGUAGCUGGUCUGAGAGGACGACCAGCCACACUGGGACUGAGACACGGCCCAGACUCCUACGGGAGGCAGCAGUGGGGAAUUUUGGACAAUGGGCGCAAGCCUGAUCCAGCCAUGCCGCGUGCGGGAAGAAGGCCUUCGGGUUGUAAACCGCUUUUGUCAGGGAAGAAACGCUCUGGGCUAAUACCCUGGGGUAAUGACGGUACCUGAAGAAUAAGCACCGGCUAACUACGUGCCAGCAGCCGCGGUAA